UGCGCAGGCGGAAUGGUAAGUCAGUGGUGAAAUCCUACAGCUUAACUGUAGAACUGCCAUUGAUACUGUCAUUCUUGAGUACAUAUGAAGUGGGCGGAAUGUGUCAUGUAGCGGUGAAAUGCAUAGAUAUGACACAGAACACCGAUAGCGAAGGCAGCUCACUAAAUUGUAACUGACGCUCAUGCACGAAAGCGUGGGGAGCAAACAGGAUUAGAUACCCUGGUAGUCC
rnacentral:rRNA from 1 species